rnacentral:rRNA from 15 species
AAGGUCCAAGCGACUGUUUAUCAAAAACACAGGGCUCUGCGAAGCCGCAAGGCGACGUAUAGGGUCUGACGCCUGCCCGGUGCCGGAAGGUUAAGAGGAGAGGUGAGAGCUUUGAAUCGAAGCCCCGGUAAACGGCGGCCGUAACAAUAACGGUCCUAAGGUAGCGAAAUUCCUUGUCGGGUAAGUUCCGACCUGCACGAAUGGCGUAACGAUGGGGGCGCUGUCUCUACCCGAGACUCAGUGAAAUUGAAAUCGCCGUGAAGAUGCGGUGUAUCCGCGGCUAGACGGAAAGACCCCGUGAACCUUUACUAUAGCUUCACAGUGAACUUUGAGCAUGUUUGUGUAGGAUAGCUGGGAGGCUUUGAAACCAGGACGCCAGUUCUGGUGGAGCCAACCUUGAAAUACCAGCCUGACCUGUUUGAGGUUCUAACUUCGACCCCUUAUCGGGGUUAAGGACACUGUGUGGUGGGUAGUUUGACUGGGGCGGUCGCCUCCUAAAGAGUAACGGAGGCGCGCGAAGGUUCCCUCAGGCUGUUUGGAAAUCAGCCGCAGAGUGUAAAGGCAGAAGGGAGCUUGACUGCGACACCUACAAGUGGAGCAGGUGCGAAAGCAGGUCUUAGUGAUCCGGUGGCUCCGAAUGGAAGGGCCAUCGCUCAUCGGAUAAAAGGUACGCCGGGGAUAACAGGCUGAUACCCCCCAAGAGUCCACAUCGACGGGGGUGUUUGGCACCUCGAUGUCGGC